CUAGUAAGGAUCUAACGCUUAACUAAGUGUCAUAUCUUAUUUAUUCCAUCACUUUUAUUUGUUUACUUUUUAAGUUGCAUUUUAUUGGAGACUUUGCAGAGCAUAUAUUGACCAUUUUACCUCAUUGUGAUGGCAGGGGUGGGUAAAAGAAUUAAUUUCUGUCAAAUAUUUAAAAGGCUGCUGAUGUUAGCGUGUGUACAGUGUAAAUAAAGUAGAGUAGUUGUAACUUGUAAGUUGAGUAAACAGAUUAUCUCAAAAUGGUUAAAAUAUUUUCUGGAAAAUUUUCUGCAAAACUCUCAACUCAAAAAAAUUUCUGGCAAACUAGGUUCCCAGGUUCCGAUACUUUUUCCACCCGUACACCGUACGGCGCAGGCCGGUGGAAACAUGAACAUGGAGAUUGGAGAAGAUCGAUUUUUUGCACCUUUAUAGGGACCGGUCAUUAUUUAUGGCCGGGGGGGGGGGGAAGAGAAAAUGGGUGGGUAAGCAAAAUUUUAUGGGUGGAAAUGGGUUGGGUAAAGUAAAAAUC